UACGUAGGUGGCGAGCGUUGUCCGGAAUUACUGGGUGUAAAGCGCGUGUAGGCGGGAGGCCAAGUCUGCGGUGAAAUCGCUCGGCUCAACUGGGCGGGGUCCGUGGAAACUGGUCACCUGGAGGACGGUAGAGCGAGUGGAAUUCCCGGUGUAGUGGUGAAAUGCGUAGAGAUCGGGAGGAACACCAGUGGCGAAGGCGGGUCUCUGGGCCGAUAUUGACGCUGAGGAGCGAAAGCGUGGGGAGCGAACAGG
rnacentral:rRNA from 1 species